GCCUCUGUGGCGCAAUUGGCUAGCGCGUUCGGCUGUUUUCCGGAAGGCUGGUGGUUCGAUCCCACCCAGGGACG
rnacentral:tRNA from 1 species